CGCUCGGUAUACCAUUUUAAGCACACUGCGCAUUAAUUCCUACAUUAUUAAGGAACAAAACUUUCGAGAGCCUGUGCAUCAAGUGAUAUACUAAUUUCUGCAUUUAAUAUUAAGAAAUAAAAUGUAAUAUAAACUUUGAAAGCAUAGAAAUCAUCAGAAUAUCUCAUUAAUCGUUAUUCUGUAGAUAGAUUUUAAUUUUUUAAUGAAUUAAGUAACAAAGAAAUUUUCGUUAAACAUAUUUAGAAUCUCACUUUACUUACGUAGUACUCUUCACUAUUUUCAUUGCGAGCGGAAAAAAUGAAUAAGUAAUGAAUUGAAUAACGAAAGAAUCGAUCGUUAUAGCUUUAUAUAUCUCUUGUAAAUAUUCGAGAAACAUUAGAAUUGUAUUUAAUUUGUUACUUAUACUUUAUUUACGUUACCUAUAUUUAUAUUUAUUGUUACUUAUAUAUCGGUUCGAUAGUAAUCGAAUAUCCCGGGAAAUGUUCACUCGGCUUGAAGAAGAUGAAGUUGAAGCAACGAAUGUGACGUGAAAUGAUAAUGUUGGAAAAAAGAAGACUUCGAUCUGUAUAUUUGAACACGACUGACAUAAAAAUUUUGAAAAGAAUUAUUGUUAUAGUGAUGUAUAUAAUUUCCUGAAAAAUAUUUGUUUUUAAAGCCAAGGUAGGCAAUAAAAAUGAAAUUUUCUCGUUCGCUGCUUAUACACAGACAUCCAACACAUACGCACGAAUAUCUGGAAUUGAGCUCGGCGAUCGUUAGAACGUAAUAUAUCCUCUUAUUCCCGAAAACAAAUAUGAAAACAUCGUCCCGUUAAAAAUGGAUAAUACAAUGGAUAACUGUUAGCUCAUAUUCGAUACAUCAAUUCACCAUUGUACGGAAUAAUCGAAUUAGGAUCGAGUUGGUGGAAAAUUUAAACCAAACGGACGCGAUAUCGUUAUAUGGCUGCAUCCAGGGGGCAACUGUUCGAGUCAAUGACUCGUUUAGGUUAAAUUUAGAAUAUCCCUAUUUUAUUUCUUAAAUAAUUAAUGUUUUUUU